ACAGCAGUCGCCGCGGUAAUACGGAGGAUCCAAGCGUUAUCCGGAAUCAUUGGGUUUAAAGGGUCCGUAGGCGGUCUUGUAAGUCAGUGGUGAAAGCCCAUCGCUCAACGGUGGAACGGCCAUUGAUACUGCAGGACUUGAAUUAUUGGGAAGUAACUAGAAUAUGUAGUGUAGCGGUGAAAUGCUUAGAGAUUACAUGGAAUACCAAUUGCGAAGGCAGGUUACUACCAAUUGAUUGACGCUGAUGGACGAAAGCGUGGGUAGCGAACAGGAUUAGAUACCCGCGUAGUCCCUGUCUCUUAUAC
rnacentral:rRNA from 1 species